rnacentral:rRNA from 1 species
AACGCUAGCUACAGGCUUAACACAUGCAAGUCGAGGGGAAACGACAUCGAAAGCUUGCUUUUGAUGGGCGUCGACCGGCGCACGGGUGAGUAACGCGUAUCCAACCUGCCCACCACUUGGGGAUAACCUUGCGAAAGUAAGACUAAUACCCAAUGACGUCUCUAGAAGGCAUCUGAAAGAGAUUAAAGAUUUAUCGGUGAUGGAUGGGGAUGCGUCUGAUUAGCUUGUUGGCGGGGUAACGGCCCACCAAGGCGACGAUCAGUAGGGGUUCUGAGAGGAAGGUCCCCCACAUUGGAACUGAGACACGGUCCAAACUCCUACGGGAGGCAGCAGUGAGGAAUAUUGGUCAAUGGACGAGAGUCUGAACCAGCCAAGUAGCGUGCAGGAUGACGGCCCUAUGGGUUGUAAACUGCUUUUAUAAGGGAAUAAAGUGAGUCUCGUGAGACUUUUUGCAUGUACCUUAUGAAUAAGGACCGGCUAAUUCCGUGCCAGCAGCCGCGGUAAUACGGAAGGUCCGGGCGUUAUCCGGAUUUAUUGGGUUUAAAGGGAGCGUAGGCCGGAGAUUAAGCGUGUUGUGAAAUGUAGACGCUCAACGUCUGCACUGCAGCGCGAACUGGAUGACUUGAGUUCGCGGGAGGUAGGCGGAAUUCGUGGUGUAGCGGUGAAAUGCUUAGAUAUCACGAAGAACUCCGAUUG